rnacentral:lncRNA from 1 species
CUCCUCAAGAACAACACGAGGGUUUUGUGUUUGGCAGCUCUUCUGUUGAUGAUAUCCACCAGUUUCUUGUCAUGUGAUGCGUCCUACGGGAUCACAGGUAUAUUCUUUUCGCUAUAUAUUCAUAUUCAUGCAUGGUUUAUACAAUCGUUUAGAAUAUUAUUGGAUAAUCAAACAAAUACAAGUGAUUAUGUUAUACUGGGCGUGCAGAUGGAGGAGGUCGCAAGUUUUGUGUGGAUUGGGAUGGAGACUGCAAGAACCCGGUGAAUGGAAAACCUAGUCAGUGUCAGAUUUACUGCAGAGAUGCCGGUUAUGUGUUAGCGAAAGGCAGAUGUGAGCCUAUAAAUGGAGCCCCCAACGACAUGUGCUGCUGCUACAAGUGAAUGGCAUGGAAAUGAUGGGCACUUCUGUGUAAAUCCACGGAAAAAAGAUCAAUAAUAAAGAGGGCACUACUUAUUUAUACGUAUCAUCAGAUCAGAUCGACUGAUCUAUUAGAAAUAUAAACUUAGGCUUAGCAAACUUUUCGAUUUGUAAUUUGUUUCUACAAAGAAAUUUGUUUCUUAUAUAGUGGUUCGCUUAUUCAAUGUAACAACAUUGUGUUUUCAUUGUCGUGAUAUUUUACUUCCACAUGACUAAAUUUUGCG